GAUGAACGCUGGCGGCGUGCCUAAUACAUGCAAGUCGAGCGAACAGACGAGGAGCUUGCUCCUCUGACGUUAGCGGCGGACGGGUGAGUAACACGUGGAUGACCUACCUAUAAGACUGGGAUAACUUCGGGAAACCGGAGCUAAUCCCGGAUAAUAUAUUGAACCGCAUGGUUCAAUAGUGAAAGACGGUUUUGCUGUCACUUAUAGAUGGAUCCGCGCCGCAUUAGCUAGUUGGUAAGGUAACGGCUUACCAAGGCAACGAUGCGUAGCCGACCUGAGAGGGGGAUCGGCCACACUGGAACUGAGACACGGUCCAGACUCCUACGGGAGGCAGCAGUAGGGAACCUUCCGCAAUGGGCGAAAGCCUGACGGAGCAACGCCGCGUGAGUGAUGAAGGUCUUCGGAUCGUAAAACUCUGCUAUUAGGGAAGAACAAAUGUGUAAGUAACUAUGCACGUCUUGACGGUACCUAAUCAGAAAGCCACGGCUAACUACGUG
rnacentral:rRNA from 1 species